AAUUACUACUUUCUCACAUCUAAAUUGAUAAAUUUUUUCAUCUGUUACAGCUGCAAUUAUUUUCUUUGCAAAUAGUGCAUCAUAAAAAUGUGUUCUCUACAAAAUGGUUUGAUAUGAACUUAACACUUCUCACUGCUAUGAUAGGCGGCAUUGCCACGCACUUAGUAAUUUUGAUACAAUUUCUGUUUAUAUCUUGUAAUGGGUAUUCUACAAUUAAUUCAGAUGCAAGCUAAUCAAUGAGAUAAUUAAUCAAAUAAAAUAAAAAUAUAAUAAAUCUGAAAAAAGAAGUUAUAAACCUAAUAGCAACAAAUAGAUAGUUCAAGUCAUAGAACCGAAACGUUUACAAUGUUAACUUUUAUUGAAUAAUAAAAUGAUAUUGUAUUUUA